UGAAUACGAGACGCUACGGCGUCGAAGCAGUCUAUGUCAUACUUCCAAGAAAAGCUUGCACUGUCAUAAACAAAUAAUGCCUGUACCAUAACCGACACAGGUGGGUAGGUAGAGUAUACUAAGGGGCGCGAGAUAACUCUCUCUAAGGAACUCGGCAAAAUGACUCCGUAACUUCGGGAGAAGGAGUGCCUUAUUUAUAAGGUUGCAAUAACAAGAUCCAAGCAACUGUUUAUCAAAAACACAGGUCUCCGCUAAGUCGUAAGACGAUGUAUGGGGGCUGACGCCUGCCCAGUGCCAGAAGGUUAAAGAAGUUGGUUAGCAUUAGCGAAGCUGAUAACUGAAGCCCUGGUGAACGGCGGCCGUAACAAUAACGGUCCUAAGGUAGCGAAAUUCCUUGUCGGGUAAGUUCCGACCCGCACGAAAGGCGUAAUGAUUUGGAUACUGUCUCAGAGAGGGGCUCGGUGAAAUAGACUUGUCUGUGAAGAUGCGGACUACCUGCACCAGGACAGAAAGACCCUAUGAAGCUUUACUGUAACUUGAAAUUGAAAUUGGACUUUAUUUGCGCAGUAUAGGUGGGAGGCAUUGAUAAUAUUCUUGCGGGAAUGUUGGAGCCAUCAGUGAGAUACCACUCUUGUAAUGUUAGAUUUCUAACUUUGGAUCAUUAUCUGGUCAAAGGACAGUUUUCAGGCGGGCAGUUUGACUGGGGCGGUCGCCUCCUAAAUGGUAACGGAGGCGCACAAAGGUUUCCUCUGAACGGGUAGAAAUCGUAUCUAGAGUGUAAAGGCAUAAGGAAGCUUGACUGUGAGACCUACAAGUCGAGCAGGGACGAAAGUCGGUCUUAGUGAUCUGACGGUGCUGAGUGGAAAGGCCGUCACUCAACGGAUAAAAGUUACUCUAGGAUAACAGGCUGAUCUCCCCCAAGAGUUCACAUCGACGGGGAGGUUUGGCACCUCGAUGUCGGCUCAUCGCAUCCUGGGGCGGUAGUACGUCCCAAGGGUUGGGCUGUUCGCCCAUGAAAGCGGUACGCGAGCUGGGUUCAGAACGUCGUGAGACAGUUCGGUCCAUAUCCGGUGUAGGCGUUAGAAUAUUGAGAGGAGCCUUCUUUAGUACGAGAGGACCGAGAAGGACAUACCUCUGGUGUACCAGUUAUCGUGCCAACGGUAAACGCUGGGUAGCUAUGUAUGGAGAGGAUAACCGCUGAAAGCAUCUAAGUGGGAAGCCCACCUCAAGAUAAGUAUUCUC
rnacentral:rRNA from 1 species